rnacentral:tRNA from 1 species
UGCUCCAUAGCUCAACUGGCAGAGCAAGCGGCUGUUAACCGGGAGGCUGUAGGUUUCUCCUAUCGGAGACGCUCCGCGAACAAAUCCUACUGGAGCAGCCA